GCAGACACAUUCCAGCCAAUCAGCAGCAGACCCUCCCUCCCAGACCCUCCCACCUCCUGGACAGCAUCCAUUUUACAUUCAUUGUGAAGCUGCAUUCUUUGUGAGCUGUCCAGGAGGUGGGAGGGUCUGGGAGGGAGGGUCUGCUGCUGAUUGGGUGGAAUGUGUCUG
rnacentral:miRNA from 1 species